rnacentral:rRNA from 1 species
AUUGAACGCUGGCGGCAGGCCUAACACAUGCAAGUCGAGCGGAUGAGAGGAGCUUGCUCCUCGAUUCAGCGGCGGACGGGUGAGUAAUGCCUAGGAAUCUGCCUAGUAGUGGGGGACAACGUUUCGAAAGGAACGCUAAUACCGCAUACGUCCUACGGGAGAAAGUGGGGGAUCUUCGGACCUCACGCUAUUAGAUGAGCCUAGGUCGGAUUAGCUAGUUGGUAGGGUAACGGCCUACCAAGGCGACGAUCCGUAACUGGUCUGAGAGGAUGAUCAGACACACUGGAACUGAGACACGGUCCAGACUCCUACGGGAGGCAGCAGUGGGGAAUAUUGGACAAUGGGCGAAAGCCUGAUCCAGCCAUGCCGCGUGUGUGAAGAAGGCCCUCGGGUCGUAAAGCACUUUAAGUUGGGAGGAAGGGCUUACAGCGAAUACCUGUGAGUUUUGACGUUACCGACAGAAUAAGCACCGGCUAACUUCGUGCCAGCAGCCGCCGCAG